AUUUGGUGCUAGGGGCACUUGAUGGAUAGCUUCUUGAACCGCUCCUAGUACUCAUAAAGUGACUCCCCUGGGUGCUGCUUGAUACUACAGAUUUCUUUUCUUAGACU